CAUCUGGUCAGUGCUUUCCAUAAUAUCUACCUGGACAUUGCUUUUUUUCCACAGUAUCCAUAUCAUUCCAUUAGGAGCAUAUGCAUAGUUAUUUUGUAUUUGCCAUUCUGUUCCCAGUUUCUUAUAGAUUGCCUGUGAGUUGUGUUGCUUGACUCUUGUUUCUAGGCAAGCUAUUAUAUCUACUUGAUUUGUUUUCAGAAAUUUUACUAACUCCCUCUGUUUGUAGGACUUGUUUAGUCCUCUGAUGUUCCAUGA
rnacentral:lncRNA from 1 species